UCCCGCCGAGCGGCCGCGCCCCGAGGUGCUGCUGCGGACGCCGCAGGUGAGCGACCCUCUGCGGUCCCGGGUUGACUGACACCUGGCUCUGCGUUCUAAACCGAGAGGACACUGGCGGCUACACCUGUCCCCGGAGGUGUAGGGACCACCCCCCACCACACAGAGGCGCCCACCUCCUCAUCGAAGCUUCUAGAAGGGGCAGGAGGGGCUGUGGGGCGGAGGCGGCGAAGUCGCGUUCCUCGUGCCUCAGAACUGUGACUGGGCGGCUGGCGCGAGGUGUGAGAUGGCAGAGAGGAAGGGGAAGGCAUUCCAGCACAGAGAACACAUGGAAUGAAUUAAUGAAUAAAGAAGGUUCCAGUGAGUAACAGAAGAUACAAAGCUGUUAGGACGACAAGUCACAGAAAACCUCAAAAGGAACAGAGCAGUUUGUGGCAAACAGUGCGGUAACCACAUGGAAAAAAUGGUGCUUCUGCUGGUGUCCACUCCACUCCCAAUCCUCUUGGGCAUAUGCAGGAGGACUGGAACAUAACCACCAAUAUCUAGAGCAAAAGUGAACAAGAGGAAACCCACAAGCAAAGAGAGCACUGGAUCCUUCCUUCUCUUAUGCAAAUGAUCCUCCCCCCCUCCCCAGAGGUAAAAAUAUAUUAUGUUCUCGCCCUUGAAAGAAAUAAUGAAUUGUUUGAGCUCAAUAAACAUGAAUUGCAAUAAUCUGAUAUUGCAGCCAGUUUUCACAUUAAAAAUUUCCUAUUACACUAAUAAUAGAAACCAUUUAGGAUGGUAAUGGCCAAGAAUCAAUAAAAUAUGGAAAAGUGGUAAUAGUUUGUUCACUCUUAAAAAUAUAUAUAUUAAUCCUAUUUUUAAGAGAAAUACACAACACACAAAUGAUCUUUUAAAAAAAUAACAUCGGUUCCCCUGAAUUUUUUCCCAGGCCAUCACAUCCUACUAAAGAAAAAGAAAGUUAACUGCUCUGAGUUUCACUUCUUUUCCUGUUCCCUGCCCACCAGCCACUUGUGCAACUGUCUUCUCAUAUGUCCUCUCUUCUCAGCCUGCAUGUGGUCACAACUUCCAUGACUGGCAGUAUCACUUAUAUACUAUGUACAGUGACACUCAGAUCUGUUUUUCCUGUAUCCAAUUUUCAGACAUCUCUUGAACAUUUUUUAAACGUAACAUAAAUAUCUCAUUCAACAUACUCAAGACCCAAAUCUGUUUCUGUGUUUCAGUUAACAGUAUCACCAUCCACCUGGUUACCUGAGUUUCUAAAACCCUCAGUUCUUUUCGGUUCAGCAAAUAGCUAUGCAGGGCAUUAAGCCAUGUGCUGAACACAGAGGAGGAUAAAAAGACAAAUAAAAUAAGGUGCUGGCCUCAAGAACUCUCCCAUCUGGAAGGAGAAUCUAGCAAGCAUGAAAAACACACUUUGACAUGCUAAGGACUGACUCACUGCCUGGGACCACUGGUAAUGGGAUUCACAGAAGACAUGAAAUGAGGGCUGGAGCUGGAAGAGCCAGUAAGGUGCGGUAACAUUUGUUGCAGGUGAGGAAAACUGCACGUGUUAAGGUACAGAAGCAUCAGUGAACAGAAUGGAUUCAGGGAAACUGAGGCACUGGGGAAGUUCAGGAAGACAGGAGUAGUAAAUGUGGCCCCAGGAAGAUAGGUCUGGACAAGAACCGUGGGGACCUUAUUUGCUAUGCUAAGUGUCAGGGUGUCACUGCCUCUGCUACUCAACAAUAAAAUGUUUUAAAGUAUGAGAAUAAUAGCACUGAGUAGAAGGGCCUAUUUCUGAACGAUAACUCUGACAGUGUUGUGAAGAACGGAGAGAGGGAAAACAGACUGAGAGGAUUCGUAAGUGGGUCUUACUGAAGGGGUACAAGAAUCAACCAUGCUGAGCGUGGCGGUGGUGCUUCUAACUAUAGUUACUCUGUGGACCAUGUUAUUCUAAGAAUAAAGAAAGAGGACAGCACAUUUGGAAAAGAUGCAGAGGAAAACUGUGGAAGAUUUUGAAAAGGCGAGAAAAAAAAAAUCACCGGGUAUCUUUUCAAUGCCUGGAGCCCCAGGGAUUAGCUAUU